CAAUUGGUCAAUGGCAGGGUCCCUCGUGUGCCACAGAACUCUGGGGACCAUCAGAGCAGCAGCUCCACCAUGCAGAACAUCCAGGCUUCUCCACAGAAAAGUAGUCAGCCACAGGCCUCCUUGACAGUCCAGAACAAGCCCAGUGUGACCCUGCUGCAGCCCAGUGAGGGACACAUCCCGAGGGGCCAUGAUGUUCAGCUUCCUGUAGUGACCAGGACACAGGAUGCGUCAGGCCCUGCCGCCUCACAAGAGCCCCGGCCGCGCACAGCUCCCCGACUGUUCCCAUGGGCACGAGGGCUCAUCCAGCCUCUCCAGCCACGCCGGACAUCAACAGCCCCCAGCCAGCUGGAAAGGACCCAUCGCCCAGUGCUCGACCUGGGACAUCUCGUGAGAAGCACGAAACGCGUGUGACGACAGUCAUCAGAACGAUGACUUUUUAGUUUUAUUAGGUUAGUUAAUGAGUAGUUAAUAAGUUAGUUAAGUAGUGUUAUUUAGUUAAUAAAAACCUUUAAAAUUA